ensembl:lncRNA
GGGCGUGUGGCUGCAGGGGCUGAGGAAAUGGACAGGGAAGGAACAGUGUUGGGGUUGUCACUAGAUAAAUGCACUUCUACCUCAUGAGCACAUGAUGCAAGGUCACCAGACUGGUACCUGGUAAUAAGCAAGUUGGUUUAUUUUAAAAGAAUCACUGCAGUAUAAGUAUGGAAGCAGAGGGAGAAAAGCCAGAGAGGAACGUGUAAUCCAGGAAAGAGAUGAGAAGGAAUGAAUAUGCAUGAUGAAGGGGGUGUAGAGGGGGUAAGAGCUGAGGAUGCUGCCCAGGUCUGCCUAGGAUCACUGGAGAGGUGGUUAUAUUCAUCACUGUGAUGGGAAACACAGGAGGAAAGGUCUUAGUUGUGGCAUGAGAACUCUUAGUGGCAGCAUGUGGGAUCUAGUUUCCGGAGCAGGGAUUGAACCCGGGACCCCUGCAUUGGGAGCAUGGAGUCUUAACCACUGAACCACCAGGUCUCACAAACGCACAACACUACAUCACAAUGGAACCGGUGAAGUUUGGGAAUCUGGUAAAUGACCUCAGCUGGACUCACAAAUUCCUUGGCCCCUGGUACUGGAAUCCAGGGCCUGGAGAAGUUCCAUCUGAACCUGGACAUCUCUGCCAGGAUGAGCCAUUCCUCCACAAAUCUGCCAUGCUGCUCACUUGUAAUUGGGGUUUGGUCAAUGAAACCUCUGGGGACUUUCCAGAGCAUCCUGAGUCACUUGUCCAUGUGGGUUUAGUGGGUUUGGAGAACACAGAAUGCCUUUGAAUUAUGUUCAAAGAAAGGCAUGCAUGCACACUCUCUCGUGUCUGACUCUUUGUGACCCCAUGGACUAUAGCCCUCCAGGCACCUCUAUCCAUGGGAUUUCCCAGGCAACAAUACUGGAGUGGGUUGCCAUUUCCUCCUCCAAAAGAAAGAAGUGCAGGAAAGUAAAAAUCUAGAUAGAGAGAGAAAGAUUGAGGAUGAAGGAAGGAAGCAAGGAGGGACUCUUUCUGCAGCCAAUACCAGGGAAAGCCUGGUGUCAAGCUAAUGACGCCCACCCAAUUUUCCACCUUAAUGGGCCCAGCAGCACUGCAUGCAGAGCACGCUAAUCAGAGAACAGAAACUGAAACAUCUAUUUUUUUAAAAUUAAAUUCUGGAAGAACUUGAGUCACUUUACUUUCAGAUAUUUAUUUUAUUCAUUUUACUCACCUAUAGACCAGGGCUUCAGAAUAUCUGCUCCUUUUCAAACUUCUUUCUGUUCCUCUGGAAAAUGGAAAGCAACGCAAAUACUCAAUAUCAUAUUCUGAGCUAGACACUGUAUCAGACAC